rnacentral:rRNA from 1 species
AAGUCGUAACAAGGUCUCCGUUGGUGAACCAGCGGAGGGGAUCAUUACUGAGUACUACACUCUCUACCCUUUGUGAACUAUUAUACCUGUUGCUUCGGCGGCGCCCGCAAGGGUGCCCGCCGGUCUCAUCAGAAUCUCUGUUUUCGAACCGACGAUACUUCCUGAGUGUUCUUAGCGAACUGUCAAAACUUUUAACAACGGAUCUCUUGGCUCCAGCAUCAAUGAAGAACGCAGCGAAACGCGAUAUGUAAUGUGAAUUGCAGAAUUCAGUGAAUCAUCGAAUCUUUGAACGCACAUGGCGCCUUCCAGUAUCCUGGGAGGCAUGCCUGUCCGAGCGUCGUUUCAACCCUCGAGCCCCUGUGGCCCGGCGUUGGGGAUCUGCCACGGCAGGCCCCUAAAACCAGUGGCGGACCCGAAGGGCCCUCUCCUUUGCGCAGUAGCAUUCGCCUCGCAUCGGGAGUCCUCGGCGUCCUGCCUCUAAACCCCCCACAAGCCCGCUUCGGCGCACAAGGUUGACUCGGAUCAGGUAGGAAUACCCGCUGAACUUAA